rnacentral:rRNA from 1 species
GUGUCAGCCGCCGCGGUAAUACGAAGGUGGCAAGCGUUGUUCGGAUUUACUGGGCGUACAGGGAGCGUAGGCGGUUCGGUAAGCCCUCCGUGAAAUCUCCAGGCUUAACCUGGAAAGUGCAGAGGGGACUGCUGGGCUAGAGGAUGGGAGAGGAGCGCGGAAUUCCCGGUGUAGCGGUGAAAUGCGUAGAGAUCGGGAGGAAGGCCGGUGGCGAAGGCGGCGCUCUGGAACAUUUCUGACGCUGAGGCUCGAAAGCGUGGGGAGCAAACAGGAUUAGAUACCCUUGUAGUCC